UGAGUACGAGAUGCUACGGCAUCGAAGCAGUCUAUGUCAUACUUCCAAGAAAAGCUUGCACUGUCAUAAACAAAGAAUGCCUGUACCAUAACCGACACAGGUGGGUAGGUAGAGUAUACUAAGGGGCGCGAGAUAACUCUCUCUAAGGAACUCGGCAAAAUGACUCCGUAACUUCGGGAGAAGGAGUGCCUUAUUUCUAAGGUUGCAAUAACAAGAUCCAAGCAACUGUUUACCAAAAACACAGGUCUCCGCUAAGUCGUAAGACGAUGUAUGGGGGCUGACGCCUGCCCAGUGCCAGAAGGUUAAAGAAGUUGGUUAGCAUUAGCGAAGCUGAUAACUGAAGCCCUGGUGAACGGCGGCCGUAACAAUAACGGUCCUAAGGUAGCGAAAUUCCUUGUCGGGUAAGUUCCGACCCGCACGAAAGGCGUAAUGAUUUGGAUACUGUCUCGGAGAGGGGCUCGGUGAAAUAGACUUGUCUGUGAAGAUGCGGACUACCUGCACCUGGACAGAAAGACCCUAUGAAGCUUUACUGUAACUUGAGAUUGAAAUUGGACUUUAUUUGCGCAGUAUAGGUGGGAGGCGUUGAGAAUAAUCUUGCGGGAUUGUUGGAGCCAUCAGUGAGAUACCACUCUUGUAAUGUUAGAUUUCUAACUUUGUAUCAUUAUCUGGUCAAAGAACAGUUUCAGGCGGGCAGUUUGACUGGGGCGGUCGCCUCCCAAAGGGUAACGGAGGCGCACAAAGGUUUCCUCUGAACGGGUAGAAAUCGUAUCUAGAGUGUAAAGGCAUAAGGAAGCUUGACUGUGAGACCUACAAGUCGAGCAGGGACGAAAGUCGGUCUUAGUGAUCUGACGGUGCUGAGUGGAAAGGCCGUCACUCAACGGAUAAAAGUUACUCUAGGAUAACAGGCUGAUCUCCCCCAAGAGUUCACAUCGACGGGGAGGUUUUGCACCUCGAUGUCGGCUCAUCGCAUCCUGGGGCGGUAGUCCGUCCCAAGGGUUGGGCUGCUCGCCCAUGAAAGCGGUACGCGAGCUGGGUUCAGAACGUCGUGAGACAGUUCGGUCCAUAUCCGGUGUAGGCGUUAGAAUAUUGAGAGGAGCCUUCUCUAGUACGAGAGGACCGAGAAGGACAUACCUCUGGUGUACCAGUUAUCGUGCCAACGGUAAACGCUGGGUAGCUAUGUAUGGAGUGGAUAACCGCUGAAAGCAUCUAAGUGGGAAGCCCACCUCAAGAUAAGUAUUCUCAAA
rnacentral:rRNA from 1 species